GUUCCCAAAUAUACCGCAGAUAUGCCGAGCAGCAGGCCAAGGGAAGCUUGUACCCAUUGCAUCACUGGCGGACGCCCAGCCGCACUGGGGAUCGAACCUCGCACCAUCCGCAUGGCACUUUUGGUAUUAACCCAGACCAUGGAAGCAAGGCUGAGAAAAAAAGCAAGGAAAGAGAACCCAAAAAUAUUCAGUUUGACGAAAAAAUCAUGGAUUCUGAAUGGAAUGUUUACAUUUUUGAACACCUAAAAAUGUACAAGAUAGAUCAAACUGUUACAAAGAGAUUAUGAUAAAGUUAUUUAUUGUGCCUGGAAUGGACAUUUGCCAAAUGCAGAA
rnacentral:lncRNA from 1 species